rnacentral:hammerhead_ribozyme from 33 species
CCUCUGUACCGAGAUGUGUGUCUCGGCUGAUGAUUCCGAAAGGAUGAAACAGGUG